AAUUGUCAGGCUGUGAUACUUUGUCUUCACGGAAAAGUCAUCUCAGUUUGGUGUUGGGCUCUGCCGUGUUCUUUAUUGGAACGGCUGGCCUUAAAAGCAUUAGCUGACCUUAAUGAGUGUUGGUUCUACUCAGUGUGAUAAUUAUCUGACCGCUGAGGACAUCCUCCGGGGUGGCCAAUUCUCUUUUGGGUUGCUCCGAAUUUGGUUUUACGGACUUGCGAGUCUGUUCCACUUCUAA
rnacentral:misc_RNA from 1 species